GCAUAGGCUUUGCUUUCUCUUGGCCAGGGACGAGUUGAAAGCAGCUCCUGGCAGCCAAGUGGAUGAAUGGAGUUACACGAUUUCCUGAGACAGACACGUAUGGGCAUGGCAUUGAUCACUCAGAAGUAUAAAUGGAAGUCUCCCCAGCUGGGGAACAGGACCUAACAUUACAGAAAUGAAGUAACAAUGGAAGGAAGGCAGCAAGAACAUCACCAAUCCAGAGUUCCUAAAUGUCACAGGUUACAAAAUCCACACACACAGUUGCCACAGUGAGGGAACACAGUGGACCCUUGGGCCACAUGGGUUUGAACCCUGUAGGUCCGCUUACAGAUUUCAUCUCUUUAAGUCACCUCUACACCCAGUGUGGGAUCCGAACCCAUAACCCCAAGAUCCAGAGUCGCAAGCUCCACCGACUGAGCCAGCCAGGCGCGCUGGGAGGGACACCUGGGUGGCGCAGCUGGUUGAGCAUCCAACUCUU